rnacentral:lncRNA from 10 species
UAUCUGACAACUCUGGACAUUUAAGAAAUUAAGCAGUGACACAAUAUUGUACUUCAGAAGAAUUUACUGAAAAAAAUCACAUUAUUGCAUUCGGUUUCUCUUGAAGUAUACUAAUUUGGUUUAAUUUGGUCUAUUUUAUGGGAGGCAAAAUUAUUUCCAACUGAAUACAUGUACUCUUCACUAGAAAUUAAACUUACAAUUACUGAAAGUUUAAAUAUCCUGAGGCAGAUUUUGACAGCAAUUUCACGUAUACUCAGGCUUGGAAUGUAUUACAUGAUUAUAAUUACUUUAUUUCUGAAAGAAAAUUUAGGGAACCUUUAUCAUUAUGCUCUGAAACCAUUCUUGGAUUUGUCACAUUAUGCCAUGUCUUUAUAGUCAUCAGACCUUUCUAAUGCUAAUCAAGAUGUUUUGGCUGUUUUUGACUUGGGUAUUGCUGAAAUGGCAUAUCCUGCUAACUGUCUCAUCCUCUCUGAUUAAGCACACAGUCCAAAUAUUUAGAAAUGAUUCAUUAUUCUUAACAAAAUAAAGAUGUAACAAUGAUUUUAUGAACUAAAAUUUUAAUAAAUUCAAAUAUCUCAUAAACUCUUUUUCCUUAACCCUUGUAGGAGGUUACUUUCAUUUGAAUUUGGGUUUGCCUUUUCCAGACAUGUUUUUAUAAUAUGACUGUGACGUAUGUAUUCCUACACAUCACACAAUAUUGCUAUUCAUGUUCUCAAAAAGAAUUGAAGGAAAAGCAAAACAGACACUUAUGAAAAUGAUCUCAGCGGCCUGCACUUCUUCCAACUUUCCACCAUCUAAAACAAGAGUAAGCUUCAAAAGCAAGCAAGUAAAUGCAAAGCUCCAGAGAAGUUUGGGGGUGUGAUGGUAGAAAGGAGAGGCUCUCUUCUUGGUGGAGGCCUGGAGGAAUAAGCCAAGUCCUAAAAGUUUCCUACAGCAGAUGAGAAGCUGCCUGGAAGCAUGUGGGAUAGAGGCAGAGAGUGUCUGCUGCCACCUCACCCAGUCCCCCACAGGUCUGAAGUGGCUUAAGAAAGCAACCUUAUUUUCCUACCUCCCUCUAACUAGGAACAAGAAGCCUUAAGGGCUUUCUCUUUAGACAGGAACAGUGCAGAACAUAAACCAAAUCCUAAUCAGAAGGCUUACUAUUCAGGGGGUGCAGAUGUAGAGAAGAAGCAUGCCCAGCUGACAGAUGGAGCAAGUUGCACCUAAACAGAUGACAAACUGGACAGAUGGCAACAACCAGCAGUCACUGCUUCCCAAUGCUAUCCUGUAGAGUUACAACUAAUGUUACUGGGUUUAAUUGCAAAAUUACUGUGUUUACCCAGAAUGCACCAAGACUAUGUGUUCUGCCAUGAGGAACUGAAAUAGAAAUUCAGAUGAGUUAUUUCAAACAUAAAAAAUAUUACUUCUUUAUGCCUGAGUAAGUGGCAUGAAAAUAUUAUAACCAUUAUACACACAUUGACAACACUCAGUCUUGAAGUUUCACCUUCUAAAUUAUUUAAUUGGAAAGUUACCUUUAAAUGUUUUUUAACUAGGAAUAAUUAACCUGCUGACAACACUUAAACAGUUACUAGUAAAGGCUGUGAAAGGGACAUUAAACUUACAGCACACAAAUAUUUGAAUUACCCUUACGCCUUAAGAAUUUACCUGGGGAGUGGUAGCUGGGGGUGGGGGUUAGUUAAUGGAUACUAAGUUUCUUUUUGAGUUGAUACAAAUGGCCUGAAAUUGACUACGGUGAUGUUGCACAUAUCUGUGAAUAUAUUAAAAAGUAAUAAAUGAGUGAAAUGCAUAGUAUGUGAAUUACAUCUCAAUAAAACUGUCAAAAAAUUAUACCUCAAAUGGGAAAAAUAUAAAUAAUAUUUCCAUUAAUUUCAAAGUCACAAAUCAAUUAAAAACUAUAAACAACACUGAGUCUCAGCGGGAAGCACAUUUCUAGCAUUGGCUGCCUUUAGAAGAAAUCCUUGAACUUGGAGUCAUAACUAUGAAUAGAAUCCUUCGGCAUGCAUGCAAUUGCUGCUGUGUGAAUUUCGUAACUCACUUGGACUCUCUGAGUCUCAGUUUCUAUAAAAAUAGUACCUAUCCUACAAGAUUGUUGUAAGAAUAGUUUUUAUGCAGCAAACUCUUAUUGAAAGUCUACUAUAUACUAAGGACUGACUAUAUAAAUACUGAAAAUAGAAAAUUAAACAUUGGUCAUUGUCCUCAUGAAUUCAGUCUUGCAGGGGAAAUAGCCACCAAAAAUCUAUAAGGUGAUGUAGUAUUUUCUAUAAAUGAAGUAAUGGGGGUAAAUCAAAGGAAAAGGAGCACAGAAGAGGGAGCUUAGAACGGUGGGUUAGGAAUGCAUAAGAUUCAGGAAGGGGAAGUUUGAGGAGAAUCUUAACAGAUAGGAUUCAGGCCAGGCGUGGUGGUUCAUGCCUGUAAUCCCAGCACUUUGGGAGGCCGAGGCAGGUGGAUCACCUGAGUUCAGGAGUUCAAGACCAGCCUGGGCAACAUGGUGAAACCCUGUCUCUACUAAAAAUACAAAAAUUAGCUGUGCAUGGUGGCACACACCUGUAAUCCCAGCUACUCGGGAGGCUGAGGCAGGAAAAUCACUUGAACCCAGGAGGCGGAGGUUGCAGUGAGCCAAGAUGUGCCAUUGCACUCCAGCCUGGGUGACAGAGCAAGAGUCCAUCUUAAAAAAAAAAAAAAAAAAAAAAAAACCACAAGAUUCAUACCACAUCACCCAUAAAAAUCAAUUAGAAUUCAUAGAGAUAAAAAUUGGAAAAGAUUAAUUCAAUCAAAACCCAUAUAUGUUAAUUAAUGACUAUUAAUAUACGAAAUAAAUUUAAAGUUUCAUUCAGAAAACACAGUUGGUGGUAGAGUUGAAAUUAGACUAAUAAAAUUCAAACAGACCAAUAAAAUGCCAAUGGAUGUGGCACUACUUAUGUGCCUCACAAUGUUAAAAGAAAAACACAUAUCAAUAAAAAUUUAUAAAACAUAUUUUUGCCCUCAAGGAAUUUAUACUCUUCCAGUCAAAAAGAUAUAUCUGGUUGACAAAAAUCAGUUAAGCUCUGUAAAAUAUUUGAAGAGAUUUAUUAUGAGACAAAUAUGAGGACCGCAAUCCGUGACACAGCCCCAGGAGAUCCUGAGAACAUAUGCCCAAGGUGGUCAGGCUACACGACCUGUAAAAACCUAUAAAAACAGCUUGGUUUUAUAUGUUUCAGGGAGACCUGAGACACCAAUCACUACAUGUAAGGUGUAUAUUCCUUCAGUUCGGAAAGGUGGGACAACUCAAAGUGGGGGCUUCCAGGUCAUAGGUGGAUUCAAGCAUUAUCUGAUUGGCAAUUGGUUAUUGCCAGGUUUAACUGACUCACGGUUCUGCAUGGCUGGGGAGGCCUCAGGAAACUUACAAUCAUGGUGGAAGGUGAAGUAGAAGCAAGUGCCUUCUUCACAAAGUGGCAGAAGAGAGUGAAGGAGGAAGUGCCACACUUUUAAUCCAUCAGAUCUCAUGAGAACUCUAUCACAAGAACAAGGGGGAAGGGUCCCCCCAUGAUCCAAUCACUUUCCACUAGUCCCCUCCACCAACAAGUGGGGAUUACAAUUUGAUGUGAGAUUUGGGUGGGGACAUAGAGCCAAACCAUAUCCAUUAUUAUGUAAAGAUUUGAAAUCAAUAGUAAGAAAUGUCUGGGUUAAGAUAAAUGGUUGUGUGGAUGUGAGGGCAACCUGGCUGUGACAUCUGUCACCCCAUUAAAUGCCAGGGUUGAUUUGGCUGAUCUGGCUGGCUAGGCGGGUGGCCCCUUCCUCCCUUACCGCUCCAUGUGUGUCCCUCCUGAAGCUGCGCACUCGGUCGAAGAGGAUGACCAUCCCUGAUAAAGAAGGACCGGUCUUCAGUCAAGGGUAUACGAGUAGCUAUGCUGUCUUGCUAGAACCUCCAAACAAGCUCUCAAGAUAAACAAUUGUGGAGACAAAGGUUUGAUUAUGCAGCUGAAGCCUCCAGGUAGCAGGUUUCAGAGCUCUUAUCAGACCUAAAAAGGUGCUAGACUCUUAGGUAACUCUCUCCUAGAUCUUAGUUAAAUCUCUCCUGAAAAGAGAAAGAGAUUUUCUACAGAAUGUAUAUUUUCCCCCACAAGGGACAGCCUUACAGGGCCAUUUCAAAAUAUGUCAAAGAAAUAUAUUUCGGGGUAAAAUAUUGUGAUUCCUUUUAGGCCUGCUGUCUGUCAUGUGAUGCUACACUAGAGUCAGGUUGGAAAUGGUGUCUUAUUGCUACAGAGUCUUUAUCAGUCUUAAGAUCUCUGUUUUAAUGUUAACUCUGGUCAGGUGUGCCUGAAUUCCCAAGAGAGGAGGGUAUAAUGAAGUAUAUCUGACUCCCUCUUCCCAUCAUGGCCUGAACUAGAUUUUCAGAUUUACUUUGGAGUGCCCUUGGCCAAGAGGGGGGCGUCCAUCAAUCAGUUGGAGCUUAGAAUUUUAUUUUUGGUUUACAAUAUAUAUGAAAUAAUUCAAAAUACAAAAUCAUACAAGUUUCUAUACAAUACAGUGCCAAAAACACAUUAUAAAUGAACAAACAGAACAUGAAGAGAAACAAAGCCAUCUGGAUUUACUGAGGAUCUUUGUAAAAAAACAAAAUGGGGCACCUAGAAUAGAACUAAUCAGCGUAAAUUAAUCAAGAGAAAGGAGGCUGGCAUUGCAGGUAGUAGAUAUGAUGAAGGCACACAGCAGAAAUGUGCAUAGAAUAUGAGUGAAAAAUAAAAUGGACCAACUAGACCUAGGCAUUGAGGACUAUGAGUUUGAAUAAUCAUAGAUGUAUUAAAGCAGAUGGAGCUGGAGGCCAUUAUACUAAGUGAAAUAACGCAGAAAUGGAAAGUCAAAUACCGCAGGUUCAUGCUUAUAGGUGGGAGCCAAACCAUGGGUACACGUGGACAUACAGAGUGAAAGAGCAGACGCUGGAGACUACAAAAGAUGAGAGGGUGAGGGGGAAGUGAGGGAUGAAAAAUUACCUGUUGGGUACAAUAUCACCCAGACUUCACUGAAACCACCUUUGCAAAAAUUAUAUCAGUGAGAAAAAUUACAACAGAAAGCUAAGCUAACCCCCGAUC